CUGCGCGGCGGCGCCGUUUCCAUAGCAGCAAAAACCAACAGGGCGAGCGCGGCGUGUGGCCUGGCGCAGGUGCGGCGCGGUGCGGUGCGCUGGGUGUCUGCCCGGCGCCUGCCGCCUCCUGUCGCCCCCCGCAGCCCGCCUCGGCCCGCCCGUCAUGAUCGCGCCGGAGGUGGAGGCGCUCGUCUCCCAGAAGUACGAGAUCAAGAGGCGCCUGGGCAAGGGGGCUUAUGGCAUUGUAUGGAAAGCAAUUGAUCGCAAGACAGGAGAAAUAGUGGCUGUUAAAAAGAUUUUUGAUGCUUUCAGGAACAAAACAGAUGCUCAGAGAACAUUUCGAGAGAUUACGUUCCUACAGGAAUUUGGAGAACAUCCAAAUAUCAUCAAGCUGCUGGAUGUUAUUCGAGCUCAGAAUGACAAGGACAUCUACCUCAUCUUUGAGUCCAUGGAGACAGAUUUACAUGCUGUGAUUAAGAAGGGGAAUUUGCUGAAAGAUAUCCACAAGUGUUACAUUCUCUACCAACUCCUGAAGGCAACGAAAUUCAUCCACUCAGGAAAUGUUAUUCACAGAGAUCAGAAGCCUUCAAAUAUCUUGCUGGAUGCAGACUGCUUUGUCAAACUUUGUGACUUUGGGCUGGCCCGUUCUUUAUGUCAGAUGAAUGAGGACCGGGUCAACCCUACUCUAACGGAGUAUGUGGCAACACGCUGGUACCGAGCCCCUGAGAUCUUACUUUCCUCUCGGAGUUACACUAAAGGUGUAGACAUGUGGAGCAUUGGCUGUAUUCUGGGAGAGCUGCUACUUGGGAAACCUCUUUUUCCUGGAACUUCAACAGUGAAUCAAAUAGAGCAGAUCUUGAGGGUCAUUCCUGCCCCAUCCCCAGAAGAUAUUUUGGCUGUGCAGUCAGAUUACAGAGCCUCAGUUAUUAACCGCAUGAGUUCCCGGCAGCGAGUAACAUUUGAGGAGAUUUUACCAUCCUCUACUCCAUUGCCUGCCUUGGAUCUUCUGAAGAAACUUUUAGUAUUUAACCCUGACAAACGACUCACAGCAGAGGAGGCUUUGCAGCAUCCUUAUGUGAAAAGGUUUCACUGUCCUGCCAGGGAGCCCUCUCUGGAUCAUGAUGUGGUUCUUCCUUUAGGUGAUGAUAUCCAGCUGUCUGUGGCAGAAUACCGGAAUAAAUUAUAUGAGAUGAUCCUUGAAAAGAUAUCGAAUAGCCGUCCAAAGGAGCAAGUGCGGAGAGAAAACAUACAAAUAAGUCAGUCUGAAUCUAGGCCGCUUCCAAACUCCACUUCUGUGAUUUUGCCUACCAAGAAAGGCCAGAUAGAACCAACACCACCUCUUCUAAAAGCUUCGCAUGUGCAUGCUGGAACUACAACUGGUAUCCAGCCAGAAGUAUCCGGCCAGAGUGAAGAUUUAUCAAGACCUUUAUGUCAGAGAUCAAAGAUCCAUGUGGUAUACAAUCCCAUAACACACACCGCUGUUCAAAGUAAUGCAAAUUCUGGUGCUCUGAUCAGGAACUGUUCAGCGUCACUUUCUCAACAGGCCAGAAUCUCCAACCACAGGAGACUCGGGAGACAAAUCACAUGGGCAAAAGCAAAUGCUGAGCUACCUCCUACAAGUGUACAGAACAUUUACAAUAAUCCAAGAAAUACUCAGUUUCACAGCAAAGAUAUUCGUCCCCCUCUGAAGUCCAGUAAAAAGAUGUUCCAGAUUACUGCAAAUAUGGGAGCUGCUGGUGACCCGAAAGCAUCGAUGGGCAGUUACUCGCAGGCCUAUGGAACCAUAUGUAAAUCUGCGCUCCAGAGUCUUCCAAUAUCAAAGUCCUCCCAGCAACUUGAGCAGUGAAUAUGGAAGUGUUCUAACCAGGUGAAGUACAGCUCAUCAGUCCCCUAAUCAAGCCCUUCAGUUUGUUUUUGACUAUUUUCUAUGAUUCUUCUCGGGUAAAUGAACAUAAUCAGUGGUGGCUUAUUUUCAUUAAAAUAAUGUAGAAAAGCAUUUUAAAUACAGGUGGGUUCUGCUACAACAUUUAGUAGCUUACCUACCACGUAAUACUGUGAUAUUGCAAAUAUUGUAAUAAAUACUUUAUAUUGCACUACAGAAAAUCUUUGUCUUUCAAUCAAUGUUUGCUGUGUGUGAAAGGGAAAAAUCCAGAGGUAUCUUGUUCAAUGAAUAAUAUGAAUGCUGGGACUACAUUUACAGAGGGGAUUCAGGCACUAAAUUCUAACAUAAUGCAAGAAA